rnacentral:rRNA from 1 species
UACGCAGGGGGCAAGCGUUGUCCGGAUUUAUUGGGCGUAAAGAGCGUGUAGGCGGUCAGGUAGGUCGGUUGUGAAAACUGGAGGCUCAACCUUCAGAGGUCGACCGAAACCCCCUGGCUAGAGUCCGGGAGAGGAGAGUGGAAUUCCUGGUGUAGCGGUGAAAUGCGCAGAUAUCAGGAAGAACACCCGUGGCGAAAGCGGCUCUCUGGAACGGUACUGACGCUGAGACGCGAAAGCGUGGGGAGCGAACAGG